CAAGACGAGGAGUAACCGUUGGAAACGAUGGCUAAGACUGGAUAGGAAUACGGGAGGCAUCUUCUGUAUUUUAAAAGACCUGGCAACAGGUAUGCUUGAGGAGGGGCCUGCGGCGCAUUAGUUAGUUGGUGAGGUGAUGGCUCACCAAGACGAUGAUGCGUAGCCGGACUGAGAGGUUGAACGGCCACAUUGGGACUGAGAGACGGCCCAAACUCCUACGGGAGGCAGCAGUAGGGAAUUUUCGGCAAUGGGGGAAACCCUGACCGAAGCAACGCCGCGUGAACGACGAAGUACUUCGGUAUGUAAAGUUCUUUUAAGAGGGAAGAAUGGCCCGUGGAAAAGCGGGCGUGACGGUACCUUUUGAAUAAGCCCCGGCUAACUAUGUGCCAGCCGCCGC
rnacentral:rRNA from 1 species